rnacentral:tmRNA from 1 species
GGGGGUGACGGGCUUCGACGAAUCGUUGAAGCAGACGCAAAGCAGGCCGAGGGCGCUUGGGCCACCUCGUUAAAAACCCGCAACUGCAUACGUGCAAACGUAUUCAAAUCCGAUGGCGCUCUAGCACCAGCAAUGGCCUAAAGCGUUAUCGUGAUCCCCGAAAGAUCGGGGCAUUGGCCCUCUCUCGCCUCAUGGGAGACCGCCGGUGUGAUAAGCGAGGCUUGAGUUCUCUGCUCCGGGGCGAGAACUGACAAAUACCGGAAACUGGCAGGAAAGUAUUUCGCUUGAUUUCGAGCUUUCCGCCAGGCAUACCAAUCAAGCUAUGUCUGUAAACUUGCACUGAUUCAUGAUCCGGACGGGAGUUCAACUCUCCCCACCUCCACCA